GGGUUGGUGAUGACACCAUAAUAAUAUUCCUUAGAAAAGCUCAACAAAAUGAGUGAAAACUCUGUCAUUCUCAUUGUGACUGAGGUCU
ensembl:snoRNA SNORD116 Small nucleolar RNA SNORD116